AAAGUGUUUAAGAAUAUACAAAAAGUUUACAGAAAAAAGAAGAAGAGAAUUUGGACUUCUCGAGACGCAUCCUCAGGCUACACACUACUCUUCCUUAAAUUUAAGAAAGGAAAAAUUACCGACAAGACAUUGGGCCGGGGCUCGAGCCUACCUCUGGUAUGCUCACGAGUUGGUGCAAACGUAUGCAAUCCCAUUAGUGCCCGUACCACAAAACCUGAAACAGACCCGUGGAGAAGCCAUGUGGGCUGUAUCCCCAACCACAGCUAGACCAUAUCUCCUCCCUUCCACCCCCUCCAUCUUAGCCGACUCUCGCCCCCGCGCCAUCGCUCCAAGCCACCCAAAGACGUGAAAGGCCUUGGCCGCACCAUCUUCACGGCUCUCACUUCAAGUCAUCCCAACGCCUCCCCUAUCCAAUCUCAAAUCAGCGAAAACAAGAACAAGAAGAUGGAGGGCAGAUAAGUGGGUCGGAUGUGCUUUGGGCUCUGCAGAAAGCAGCCGCUCAGAAAAAUGAGAUGAGUGAAAAUAAGAAAUCCAAGAAGAAGAAGAAGAAGAAGAAAGGUGUGUCAUCCAACAAUCACAGUGCAGAGGUGAAUGUGGAUUAUAGGGAAGUGCGGCCAUUGUGCGUUAAGAGUGAGUGGGGUGUGAGGUUGGAGGAGCUGGAGAAGCGUCUUCAGGAGCUUUCUGAGACCCAUUGAGAUUUUAAGCUUGUAUAGGGUGAAUUGAUCUCGUCCUCAAUGGUAAAACCAAAGCUAAGAAGUAAGAACACGUGUGAGGAUGAUGAACCGAAUGACCGCUUCCAGAUGUUUCUUAUGAAGAGCACCUGAAAAGCCUAUGAAAUCAAGACAGUUACCGAGAAGCUCGGGGAAUUCAUGGGUUUGGUGUAGUGAUUCAAGUGAAAGAAAAAGUAGCUUCAGUUUAUUAACAGGGUAAGCAUAUACAGGAAAACGAGAUUGGGAAAUGUCCAAAUGUAUGUUUUAUUUGCUAUGAUUUUUUUUUUUUUUGAUAAGUUGCUAUGGACUCGAUAACUCUCAGAAAUUUAUAUUAAAAUAAUAACAUUAAUUUUGA